rnacentral:rRNA from 1 species
UACGUAGGGGGCAAGCGUUGUCCGGAAUCAUUGGGCGUAAAGAGCGUGUAGGCGGCCCGAUAAGUCCGCUGUGAAAGUCAAAGGCUCAACCUUUGAAAGCCGAUGGAUACUGCAGGGCUAGAGUCCGGAAGAGGCGAGUGGAAUUCCUGGUGUAGCGGUGGAAUGCGCAGAUAUCAGGAGGAACACCAAUAGCGAAGGCAGCUCGCUGGGACGGUACUGACGCUAAGGCGCGAAAGCGUGGGGAGCGAACAGG